UUAAAAAGUGCGUAAUAGCUUACUAACUGAGAAGUUUUGCACCGAAGAUCACGGGGCUCAAGCUCGGUACCGAAGAUAAGAAUGGCCCUGUAUUUACAGGGUCAUGGUAGGGGAGCAUCCUUCUUCCGCUGAAGGUGAGUCGUAAGGCUUGCUGGAGGAUGAAGGAGAGAGAAUGUUGGCAUGAGUAAUCGCAAUUCCGGUGAGAGCCCGGAACACCGAAAACCUAAGGUUUCCUUGGCAAUGGUGAUCAUCCAAGGGUUAGGCGGGCCUAAGGCGUAGCCGAAAGGCGAAGCCGAUGGACAGCUGGUUAAUAUUCCAGCCCUUUCUCUUUGAUUUUCCAUAGAGGGACGGAGAUUAGUAGCUUGAUCGGAUUAUUGGAUUUCCGUUCAUUCUUUGAGGAGCAAUCCAAGAAGUGUGAAAAGUCGGGACUAUGGUCUUGGCGAUUCAAGUGAGCAAUCUUCCUAGAAAAGCUCUUUGGGAGCUAAUCAAAGAGGAAACCGUACCGUAAACCGACACAGGUGGGUAGGUAUAAAUGUACCAAGGUGAACGAGUGAAACUUCGUUAAGGAACUCGGCAAACAAGUGGUCGUAACUUCGGGAUAAGACCUCCCUACAUUUGUAGGGCGCAGCGAAAGUUCUCCUGGCGACUGUUUAUCAAAAACACAGGUCCCUGCUAAACUCGUAAGAGGAUGUAUAGGGGCUGAGGCCUGACCAGUGCUGGAACGUCAACCUUGCCGGUCUAAAAAUUUCUUUUUUAAAGAGGUUUUUAUGCUGAGUGAGCGAAGCGCCAGUAAACGUCCGCGGUAACUAUAACCGUGUUAAAGUAGCGUAAUCCCUUGUCGGGUAAAUUCCGACCCGCACGAAAGGCUUAACGACUGGGGGGCUGUCUCAACGAAGUGCUCGAUGAAAAUGCAAUACCGGUAAAGAUGCCGGUUACCUGCGGCUAGACGGAAAGACCCCGGGAGCUUUACUGUAGUCAGAUAUUGAAUUUUGGUUUUAAAUGCGAAGCGUAGGUGGGAGACUGUGAAACUUUUCUUUCGGGAAAGGCGGAGUCGCCAAUGGGACACCACCCUUUUAAAAUCUUAAUUCUAACUUGGCCGUACCGCAACGCGCUUGAUCUUUCGAGCUUGUUGCGGUGCGGCGAGGACAGUGUCUGGUGGUCAGUUUAAGUGGGGCGCUUUUCUCCUAAAAAGUAGCGGAGAAGUUUAUAAGGUCGGCUAGCUCCGGAUGGAAAUCGGAGUGAUUGUGCAAAGGCUUAAGCCGGCUUUACUGCGAGACGGGUAUGUCGAGCAGUUGGGAAACCAGAACUUAGUGAACCGACCGUGUGUCCACUAGUAUCGCUUUGCGAAACUAGUGGACGGGAUAUUAGAAGCGCGGAGGACAUCAGAUAAAAGUUACCCCGGGGAUAACCAGGUUAGUAGGGCCCGCGAGUUCACAUCAACGGCCCUGUUCGACACCUCGAUGUCGGCUCAUCACAUCCUGGAGGUGAA
rnacentral:rRNA from 1 species